UGUUAAUGUAGGAAAGAAGAAAGAAAGUAAACUAAAGGUGGAACAGGGAUAGUAGUGGAACCAGGACAGGCAGAAGACUGUAGAUUAUAAAUUUAACACCAUAACAAAGAAUUUGUGCUUCAGCUUUCUUCCCAGAAUAUUUUCAUCUAUCUAUGCUAUACCAAAUUUUGUAAUACAGUUCUUUUCACAAGUGGCCUAAGAGGAUAUCAGAAGGCAGCAGAAGAUUCCACCUGAAAAUGGCAUAAUAUGUGGGUACAUCAGAAGUCUCUAUCAAGAGAAUGGGGCAGAGCUAUUACUGCACAACAUGAUAGACAAAAAAGAAAAAAAAAACCACAACGUGAAGGUUUCCAUAGCAGAGAAGAACUUCUAAUGGGGAACUCCAGCGGGAUAAGAGAUAUGCAAUUCAAAGAUGAAAACUUCAGUGACACAAAAGGUUUAUUUCCUUGGUAUCUAAUUUUGUUCCACUUGUUGAAUAUGCAGCUGGAGUGUAUCAUGUGUGCUCCUAGGAUAUAAUACAGCCCACAGAGAAUGGCACAUUAAUGUAGGAGAAAUCACAGGCAGAAAGUAAAAGUCGUGUCCAUUCUGUACCCUUGGACACAGG
rnacentral:lncRNA from 1 species